CCCAAAUUAAAACAUAGGAGCAUGAGUCGUGAACUAUGGGCUAGCAAUUGAUAGAUGUUGGACCCGAAUACUUCAACCCAAAUAUUAGUAAACAUCAUAUGAACUUUGCCUGGGAAUUGUUCAGUGCUAUGGCUGUAUUGCGUCACAAAGUGCACCAGGGGCCAUAGCAUGUUAACUAAAAUCAGAUUAACAACCCCUAACCAAGGGGGUCACGCUGGGGGAAGGAGAUUGAACAAAAGGGAGUGCAAAGCCCACUCAUGGCUUAUGAGAACAUCUGCAAGUUAAACCAUAAAGGAAGUUAAACUAUAAAGGGCCACAGGAUGCCCAGCUAAGGAAUUUUGAGCUAGACAUUUAAAUGAAAGAUUAAAAGACAGUAAUCAUAGAAAAUCUUGAGGCUCUGAAGUAGCUCAAUAUGACGUUUCUGAUCUUUGUU